AGCGGCGGACGGGUGAGUAACACGUGGGCAACCUGCCCUGGAGCGGGGGAUAACAUCUGGAAACAGGUGCUAAUACCGCAUGACUACUAAAAACCACAUGGUUUUAGCAUAAAAGAAGGCUUCGGCUUUCACUCUAGGAUGGGCCCGCGGUGCAUUAGCUAGUUGGUAAGGUAACGGCUUACCAAGGCGAUGAUGCAUAGCCGAGUUGAGAGACUGAUCGGCCACAAUGGAACUGAGACACGGUCCAUACUCC
rnacentral:rRNA from 1 species